AAUAUUGGACAAUGGGCGAAAGCCUGAUCCAGCCAUGCCGCGUGUGUGAAGAAGGUCUUCGGAUUGUAAAGCACUUUAAGUUGGGAGGAAGGGGUUGAAGCUAAUACGUUCAAUCUUUGACGUUACCAACAGAAUUAGCACCGGUCAACUCUGUUCCAGCAGCCGCGGUAAUACAGUGGGUGCAAGCUUUAAUCGGAAUUACUGGGCGUAAAGCGCGCUGAGGUGGUUCAGUAAGAUGGAAGUGAAAUCCCCGGGCUUAACCUGGAAACUGCUUUCAUAACUGCUGAGCUAGAGUACGGUAGAGGGUAGUGGAAUUUCCUGUGUAGCGGUGAAAUGCGUAGAUAUAGGAAGGAACACCAGUGGCGAAGGCGACUACCUGGACUGAUACUGACACUGAGGUGCGAAAGCGUGGGGAGCAAACAGG
rnacentral:rRNA from 1 species